ensembl:snRNA U6 U6 spliceosomal RNA
GUGCUGGACUUAUCAGUGCAUAUACAAAAACCUAAAUAACAGAGAAGAUGAGCAAAGCCCCUUAUGCAAGGAUGGCAUGCAAAUUUAUGAAGUGUUCACUCUAUAU